UGGGGAAUUUUGGACAAUGGGCGAAAGCCUGAUCCAGCAAUGCCGCGUGUGUGAAGAAGGCCUUCGGGUUGUAAAGCACUUUUGUCCGGAAAGAAAUCCUUGGCUCUAAUACAGUCGGGGGAUGACGGUACCGGAAGAAUAAGCACCGGCUAACUACGUGCCAGCAGCCGCGGUAAUACGUAGGGUGCAAGCGUUAAUCGGAAUUACUGGGCGUAAAGCGUGCGCAGGCGGUUUGCUAAGACCGAUGUGAAAUCCCCGGGCUCAACCUGGGAACUGCAUUGGUGACUGGCAGGCUAGAGUAUGGCAGAGGGGGGUAGAAUUCCACGUGUAGCAGUGAAAUGCGUAGAGAUGUGGAGGAAUACCGAUGGCGAAGGCAGCCCCCUGGGCCAAUACUGACGCUCAUGCACGAAAGCGUGGGGAGCAAACAGGAUUAGAUACCCUGGUAGUCCACGCCCUAAACGAUGUCAACUAGUUGUUGGGGAUUCAUUUCCCUAGUAACGUAGCUAACGCGUGAAGUUGACCGCCUGGGGAGUACGGUCGCAAGAUUAAAACUCAAAUGAAUUGACGGGGUCAUAGCU
rnacentral:rRNA from 1 species